CCGCCGCCACCCGCCGACGGCCGCGCCGCUGGACGACGAGGACCUCCUCGGGGAGAUCCUCCUCCGCGUCCCCCCGCUGCCCUCCUCGCUCCUCCGCGCCUCCCUCGUCUCCAAGCUAUGCGGAGGCGUCGCCACCGCCCCCUCCUUCAGCCACCGCUUCGUCGCCCACCACCGGAGGCCCCCCGUCCUCGGUUUCUUCGAGAAGGGCGACGGGGAGCUGGUCUUCACACCCAUCCUCGACCCCCCUGCUUCCGUGACGUCGCCUCCAAUAUUGCAAAGGCUCUCCGCUCCAAAUUUGUUUUGAACAUCUUCUUCAAUGUGGCAAAAUCAAUUGCUUGGUGCAGUUCCAGUUUAUGUUUACUAUCCAAUAGUAAUUUCUAAGAGGAUACAUCUCAAGCAGGGGAUGUCCUUCCACAUAGUUACUUUACUGUGAUCAUCAUUGUAUAAUGAUUGUGUUGGUGUAUCUGUUUCUCUGAUGCUUGGAAACAUUGAGGAGGGGAUGUCUGUCCAAAAUAGAUGGUUAGUUGUACAGACAGAUUUAUAUUUACUUGGAAUGCAAGUAUAAAAUUGAGAUUAUUACCGUAAGUCAUGACUUGUGGCUGCUCUAGAGGCUGAGUGUUUUCGUUGCAGGUUUCCGUCAUGGAUUCAUCUUCUUUUGAUGAUACAGAAAUAGCUUGCUUAUGUCUUCUUGUGAAUUCUUCGUUACGACGGUGUAGCAACGCUUGCCUUUCUCCCGCUGCCACAUGAUCCCUGUGUUUUACAGUAAAUGUAGAAGUGCUCUCCUCCUGUUCAGUUACGACAUAUUCAGGGUUCUCCAUUGCUAUUGAAUCUUUGGAUGAUGUGUUGCGUUUCGAUUGACGGUGAGCUUCAAUUUGUUCCAUUCUUGCUUUCUUCUUUUCUAUUUGCAUAUUUGCAUAUCUUUUUUUUUCUUGUGCACAUUUUGCCGCCUUCUGUUCUGGUGUCUGUUCUGGUGUCUUUCCUGAUACUUUGUUUCGUUGAUAGGCUUCACGGCGUUUUUUGAGUUUCUCAUGCCUUUCUUCAUCGGUCAUGUGUUCAUACCGCUCUCUAUCCCUCUUUCUUUUUUUUCCUUAGCAUCCAUGAUUUGAGAUUAUGGUCCAAAUGUUUUCCUGCAGGAUGGAAGGAAAUUUUUUGUAAUGCAAUACAAGAUAAUUUGUUGCUAGACUGGCCUGGAAUGUGAAGUCAAUAUGUAUCGGAUGAGCAUCCUGGCAUGUGAGAUGCAUGAAACAUGGUAUUUUUUUACUGGACAUCAAACAUAGGACUGAUGAGUAUCAAAUACCAUGUGUGAGAUUCAAGAAUUCAUUGGGAAGAACGAAAACGGGAGACAAGGAACAUACUUGACUGCUCCUUUGUUUUGGUUGGCGCUGUAGCUUGGAGAUUGCUUGGCGUGUACUUAGCUGGUGGCACUUUUUUCUCUGGGCGUUCAAUCUCUGAGAGCUGGGUAUUUAUAUUAGUAUAGAACCUUUGCCAGUCCGAGUUGGUGUAUGGUUCCCGAUUGGUUCCAUGUCCGAGUCCAAGUUGGUGUAUGUUUUCCAUGUCCGAGUCCAAGUUGGUGUAUGCUUCUGAUUGUAUUUUUCUCUUCCACGUCCAAUCCAGUAUAGUAGGUUGGAGUAUGUUUUGAUAUUUGUUAUAAAUUUACUUUUUUC